GUAUAUACCGUCUUUGCCCACCACGGUCAAUCUAUGGUUCGCCACCGCGAAGAAGAGCUCCUCGUCCAUAACCGCGUUUAUGAUGCGGAGAAGGGACAGAGAAAGAGAGAGAUCUAGUACCCUUUUCAGAGCAAGGGUAGAGAAAACCGGGUUGUCCAUUGAUGGUAUAAGCAUCGGAGAUGGCCGGUUCACCUCCGGUUUCGAUAGCCUUUCUCGUGGAUGGUGAUAUUGUAAUGGGCGUUGUUGACGACAUUGAUGAUGAGCCGAUCGCCUCGUCGGGCUGUCAGCGUCGGGCCAGGGUAUUUACCGUUCACUGUCAAUAUGUUUUUGGUUUCACAUAGCCUCGUGUACGGUUUUGUCUCUAUCUGUUUUUAUUUUGUUUACCAUCAAUUUCCAAAAAAAAAAAAGAUGGAUCGAAGAAAUAAUGAUAUGGCCUGAAGACAAAGUACAAAUACCACGAACUUGUGUCUGAUAAUCUUCGCGUCAACGAUUCCACGUGUAAGAAGAAUGAAGAAGAAGCAGACGACCAAACUCCAUGCCUUCA